rnacentral:rRNA from 1 species
UACGUAGGGGGCGAGCGUUGUCCGGAUUCAUUGGGCGUAAAGAGCUCGUAGGCGGCUUGGCAAGUCGGAUGUGAAAACUCCAGGCUCAACCUGGAGCCGCCAUUCGAUACUGCCAUGGCUAGAGUCCGGUAGGGAGUGUGGAAUUCCCGGUGUAGCGGUGAAAUGCGCAGAUAUCAGGAAGAACACCUAUGGCGAAGGCAGCACUCUGGGACGGUACUGACGCUGAGACGCGAAAGCGUGGGGAGCGAACAGG